rnacentral:rRNA from 1 species
AACGAACGCUGGCGGCAGGCCUAACACAUGCAAGUCGAACGCCGUAGCAAUACGGAGUGGCAGACGGGUGAGUAACGCGUGGGAACAUACCCCCUCGGUUCGGAAUAACUCAGGGAAACUUGAGCUAAUACCGGAUACGUCCGAGGUUUUGAUCGACCUUGGAGAAAGAUUUAUCGCCGAAGGAUUGACCCGCGUCUGAUUAGCUUGUUGGUGAGGUAAUGGCUCACCAAGGCGACGAUCAGUAGCUGGUCUGAGAGGAUGAUCAGCCACAUUGGGACUGAGACACGGCCCAGACUCCUACGGGAGGCAGCAGUGGGGAAUAUUGCGCAAUGGGCGAAAGCCUGACGCAGCGACGCCGCGUGUGGGAUGA